UGCCUAACACAUGCAAGUCGAACGGCAGCAUGACCUAGCUUGCUAGGUUGAUGGCGAGUGGCGGACGGGUGAGUAAUGCAUCGGGACCUACCCAGACGUGGGGGAUAACCUCGGGAAACCGGGACUAAUACCGCAUACGUCCUACGGGAGAAAGCGGGGGAUCUUCGGACCCCGCGCGGUUGGACGGACCGAUGUGCGAUUAGCUAGUUGGUAGGGUAAAGGCCUACCAAGGCGACGAUCGCUAGCUGGUCUGAGAGGAUGAUCAGCCACACUGGAACUGAGACACGGUCCAGACUCCUACGGGAGGCAGCAGUGGGGAAUAUUGGACAAUGGGCGCAAGCCUGAUCCAGCGAUGCCGCGUGUGUGAAGAAGGCCUUCGGGUUGUAAAGCGC
rnacentral:rRNA from 1 species